rnacentral:rRNA from 1 species
UACAGAGGGGGCAAGCGUUAUUCGGAAUUAUUGGGCGUAAAGAGCGCGUAGGCGGCCCGGUAAGUCGGAUGUGAAAACCCGGGGCUCAACCCCGGGCCUGCAUCCGAUACUCCCGGGCUGGAGGCAGGUAGGGGAGAUCGGAAUUCCUGGUGUAGCGGUGAAAUGCGCAGAUAUCAGGAGGAACACCGGUGGCGAAGGCGGAUCUCUGGGCCUGUCCUGACGCUGAGGCGCGAAAGCUAGGGGAGCGAACAGG